rnacentral:antisense_RNA from 1 species
AGCGCCCCGACAGGCCAUAAUUCCGCGGCCCCACGUGACCUCCGGGGCCGCGCCUUCCGGACGCAGCUCCGCUGGGGCGGAAGUUGGUUUUGUGCGGCUCACAAGAACUAAGUUUGUGCUGUGCUGCGGAUGCCUAGAGUGCUUCCUUGUAUCUUCCGCAGGACCCCUUCCUUUUUUCUUGAAGAUUGAUUUUGCUAGAAGUUAUCCUGUGAUGGGACUCCCUAGGGGAAUGGAGGCACCACGUGGUUAAGGAGUUUGUGCUUUGCCGCCCACAUAGUGUGGGCAGCUGAGGCGCCGCCCGGGUCAGAGCCGCAGGGCGUCUACUCUGUCACUUUCCCAGCCUGACUUUUCCGAAUUGCUAUUUCAGGCGGCGGUUGCAGCAGCCGAUCUGUCUCAACUCCACCACUGUAGCCAGAGAAUCAAAAGCGGUCUGAGGUGCGAGGCCAUUGGGGCGGCCCCCACCCCCACAUUACCAGUGAGGAAACUGAGACUUAGAAAAGUGACCUGACCUGGACACGGAUUGCCUGGCAUCAGAGCUGGAUUCUUAAGUGCCUGUUAGUGUUCAGGCACUGCUCAGACUUUUAGUAAAGGUGAGCGCCAUCUACUGCCAAGUCUCACAAAAUAUUCGCAAAAUUUGAUACGGUUAUCACAUGGUAAAAAUUAGACUUUAAAAGCUGUAUUUAAUGCUGUGUUUUCAGCUGUUGUACACUUAUGUAAUUUUAAUUAUGCAAAGUUAUCCUAAUAAUAUAGGAAUAUUAAUUGCUUUCGUGAGGUCUGUUUUGAUGUGCCACGAACGCCAAAAAAGAUGACUACAUAGUGCUUUACCUUUUUGCUCAAAUAGAAAGCUUUUAUUUCC